GGAGCUGUGGCACAGUGGGUUAACGCCCUGGCCUGAAGUGCCAGUGUCCCAUAUAGGCGCUGGUUUGAGACCCAGCUGCUCCA
rfam:Oryctolagus cuniculus chromosome 11, whole genome shotgun sequence.